GAACGGCAGCACGGGAGCUUGCUCCUGGUGGCGAGUGGCGAACGGGUGAGUAAUAUAUCGGAACGUGCCCUAGAGUGGGGGAUAACUAGUCGAAAGAUUAGCUAAUACCGCAUACGAUCUACGGAUGAAAGUGGGGGAUCGCAAGACCUCAUGCUCGUGGAGCGGCCGAUAUCUGAUUAGCUAGUUGGUGAGGUAAAGGCUCACCAAGGCAUCGAUCAGUAGCUGGUCUGAGAGGACGACCAGCCACACUGGGACUGAGACACGGCCCAGACUCCUACGGGAGGCAGCAGUGGGGAAUUUUGGACAAUGGGGGCAACCCUGAUCCAGCAAUGCCGCGUGAGUGAAGAAGGCCUUCGGGUUGUAAAGCUCUUUUGUCAGGGAAGAAACGGUGAGGGCUAAUAUCCUUUGCUAAUGACGGUACCUGAAGAAUAAGCACCGGCUAACUACGUGCCAGCAGCCGCGGUAAUACGUAGGGUGCAAGCGUUAAUCGGAAUUACUGGGCGUAAAGCGUGCGCAGGCGGUUAUGCAAGACAGAUGUGAAAUCCCCGGGCUCAACCCGGGAAUUGCAUUUGUGACUGUAUGGCUAGAGUGUGUCAGAGGGGGGUAGAAUUCCACGUGUAGCAGUGAAAUGCGUAGAUAUGUGGAGGAAUACCGAUGGCGAAGG
rnacentral:rRNA from 1 species